CCGCGUGAGGGAUGACGGCCUUCGGGUUGUAAACCUCUUUCAGCAGGGACGAAGCGCACGUGACGGUACCUGCAGAAUAAGCACCGGCCAACUACGUGCCACCAGCCGCGGUAAGACGUAGGGUGCGAGCGUUGUCCGGAUUUAUUGGGCGUAAAGAGCUCGUAGGCGGCUUGUCGCGUCGACCGUGAAAACUUGGGGCUCAACCCCAAGCCUGCGGACGAUACGGGCAGGCUAGAGUUCGGGAGGGGAGACUGGAAUUCCUGGUGUAGCGGUGAAAUGCGCAGAUAUCAAGAGGAACACCGGUGGCGAAGUCGGGUCUCUGGGCCGAUACUGACGCUGAGGAGCGAAAGCGUGGGGAGCGAACAGGAUUACAUACCCUGGUAGUCCACGCUGUAAACGUUGGGCGCUAGGUGUGGGGGGCCUCUCCGGUUCUCUGUGUCGCACCUAACGCAUUACGCGCCCCGCCUGGGGAGUACGGGCGCAAGGCUAAAACUCAUAGGAAUUGACGGGGGCCCGCACAAGCGGCGGAGCAUGCGGAUUAAUUCCAUGCAACGCGAAAAACCUUACCUGGGUGUGACAUGGCCGCACAACUUCCAGAGAUGGGAGGUCCUUC
rnacentral:rRNA from 1 species